GCAAGGAAUAUUGUGCAAUGGGCGAAAGCCUGACACAGCGACGCCGCGUGAGGGAUGAAGGCCUUCGGGUUGUAAACCUCUUUUCCCAGGGAAGAAAACUGACGGUACCUGGGGAAUAAGCUUCGGCCAACUACGUGCCAGCAGCCGCGGUAAUACGUAGGAAGCGAGCGUUAUCCGGAUUUAUUGGGCGUAAAGAGCGCGCGGGCGGCUCUUCAAGUCGGAUGUUAAAUCUCCCAGCCUAACUGGGAGGGGUCGUUCGAUACUGUUGAGCUUGAGGACAGCAGAGGAAAGUGGAACUCCCGGUGUAGUGGUGAAAUGCGUAGAUAUCGGGAAGAACACCAGUGGCGAAGGCGGCUUUCUGGGCUGCACCUGACGCUGAGGCGCAAAAGCGUGGGGAGCGAACAGGAUUAGAUACCCGUGUAGUCC
rnacentral:rRNA from 1 species